ACAAAUUCCUGAUGAUAGUGUUGUCUGUAACACCUGGAUUAGAUCAAUGCAUUUCCUGUUCCACACAGAGGGCAUAAAAGGAGCAAACUGAGCUCAGAAGAGGGACUGAAGUUCAGAAUGGAGAUUCUCUGUAUUGGUACUGUAUCGAUGUCUAGGCAAAAUUUGUAUGCUUUCUUAUUGACUUGCUUCUUCAAUAGAAGACAGGUUAUUAUUUUAACUCCAGCAAGUAAGAAUGUCUCCAUAUGCCUAUUGGACAACAACAAGAAGGAAAUAUGGUCCCCAUGCUGCAGCUUCUUAUCGGGAAUUGUGGUUUUUUGUAUCCUGCCUAGCACUGGCUGAGGGAGCAGAAGAACUGAGUUGCACCACACAUCCAAACAGCCCAGCCAUUUUGGAGGCACACCUGUGUAUCCCAUCACACCUUAUGCUGCAGCAACAUCAGGGAGACCACAUUUCAGGAUUGCUGCCACACCAUCCAGCGGUUCUUGCUCAUUGACGUGGGGAGAAGAAACAGGGCUGGUCAGUCAAAGGAAGGAUGCAGUGGGCCAGGGGGGUUGUAAUUUUCUCUGCCUCAGUCUGUCAGAGAAGUAUGUUAACUCUAGGUUGCAAAAAUGUGAGUUUGGCAAAGCCUGGAAAAGACAGAGGCUGAUACAUGACUAGUCUAGGCUAUAGUCCUAAAUGUUUUUUCAAGUAUCAACAGAAAUAGGAGGUAAAAAUGUACUUCCAGUUGUUUAAUAGUAUCUGAGAGGCUCAGGACAUUAAUUCUGUUUUGUUAAUCCCCAAUUUUAGUCAUUUUUCCUGUGCACAGAGAAGCAACUUCUACCAGUCUGCGCAUGUUUUUUUUCCAAGCAUAAACUACAGAGACUAUAACAAACUGAUUUAUACUUGCAAAAAUCAUUUUUAAAAUGGAUUUCCCAGAUGUAAAUUCAAUCAUCUGUUUAGCCAGGUGUGAGAAUCUAUCAGCUGUGUAUGCAGGUGUCAAUGCUUGAAAAAUGAUCCAGUUUACUCCUCUGUAAAGAGUUCUGCAUCACCUAAGUCUAUCUUAAGCUGAGUUUUGAGGAUUUAAGUGGAAUUUGAAUGGGGCUUUCUGUGCUGAAGGGCCUUAGCAUAGGGCAAAUGCUUCAUAAAGUAUAUGCACAGAUGGGCAAAUUUGGCGGCCCAUAAGUGAGGCUGGGCUGGCAGCCCAAAUCGAUAAUCUUGCCCCAGAUGUGUCUCCUCCUAAAAUGUGUCUAGCUCUUGUCAGGCUCAUUAGAGAGAGGUGGUUUUGGCUAGUCUGCCCUUUUUUUGAGUGAAAACAUAGCAUUUCUCAGUGUAUUAUCAACAUUCCUAAACUGAAAUAUUUAAUAACCUAUGCUAUCUAAUACCUGACUUGGCUUUGCAUUAGAAACAAUUGCUUGCAAACUGUUUAUCUAUUGAGUGAGAAUGAUUAAAAGAAAAUAAAAAGUUCUUCAUAUACUAUUUUUGGGCA
rnacentral:lncRNA from 1 species